UAAACUAGGAUUAGAUACCCUAUUACUUAAAAUGUAGAUUUUUAAUUAAAUUAGUAUUAGUUAUGAUCUUGAAAAUUUAAAAAUUUGGCGGCAUUUUAUACUUUUCAGAGGAACCUGUUCUAUAAUCGAUAAUCCACGAUUUAAUGAACUUAUUUUAAUUAAUUUGUAUAUCGUUGUUUAGAACAUUUUAGUAGAAUUUAAAUGUUUAUAAUUUAUUUUUUUAAAAUAAAUCAAAUCAAGGUGCAGUUUAUAGAUAAGGUAGAAAUGGGUUACAAUAAGUUUAUUUAUAUGGAUUUGGUUUUGUAAUAUGCUAAUGAAGGUGGAUUUGUAAGUAAUAUUGAUAAGAUUAUUAAUAUGAUUUUAGUUCUAGAAUGUGCACAUAUCGCCCGUCGCUUUCAUUUAGUUUGAAAUAAGUCGUAACAAAGUAGAGGUACUGGAAAGUGUUUCUGGUUUACGAACUAGAGCUUGAUAUAAAGCAUUUUAUUUACACUAAUAGGUUAAUUGUGAAAUUCAAUUUAGUGAGUUUUGUUAAUUAUUAUUUUUGUUAUGUUUAUUAAAAUAUUAUUUUUUUUAUUAGUUUUAAUUGAAAAUGGAAUUUUUAUUAUAGUUUAUUAGUACAGUAAUGGAAGUUUUCGAUAUUUUUUAUAAAAUGCUUAAUUUGUUGUACCUUGUGUAUCAGGGUUAAUUAAUUAUAAAUUUUUUAUUUAAAUUUUCUUGAAGUUUAAAGAGUUAACUUAUAUAUAUGUAUUGUUGUUAAAUAAACAUUUUUAAUAUUAGGUUGGUGGUGAAAUGUCAUUCGAUUUUUAUGAUAUCUAGUUUCUUUAGAAAUGCAUUUAAUGCAGGUUUUAUAAAUAAUUUUAUAAUUUUUUAUUUUAAUUUUUUUGUAUGAACUUAACUUUUUAGGGAUUAGCUUAAAAAACUAUUUCUAUAAUUUUUUUUGAUUUUUAAUGUUUAAUAGAAUUAGUAAUGUUUAUUUAUAACAAUUUUUUAUAAUUGGGCAUUAAUUUGAUAUUAUUUUUAUAUAAUUUGGAUUUUAUAUAGAGAAUUAUGAAUUUAAUAGUUUUAUUUUGGAUAUAAUGAUUAAAUUAGUAUAUAUUUAUUUAUUUUGUAUGUUUAUUUGUUAAUUGAUUAUAAGGAAUUCGGCAAAUAUAUUUUUCACCUGUUUAUUAAAAACAUGGCUUUUUGAUUUUUAUUUAAAGUUAGGCCUGCUCUAUGAAAUUUAAAUGGCUGCAGUAUUUUGACUGUACAAAGGUAGCGUAAUCAUUAGUUUCUUAAUUAGGAACUUGUAUGAAUGGUUUGAUGAGAAAAUAACUGUCUUAUACUCAUUUUUAUAGAAUUUUAUUUUUAGGUUAAAAAGCUUAAAUUAAGUUAAAAGACGAGAAGACCCUAUAGAGUUUUAUAUUAAUAUUUAAUUUGAUAAUUUAAGUGAUAAAAUUUUUUAAUUACAUUUAGUAUUUAAUUGGGGUGAUUGUUGAAUUUAUUAAACUUUUAUAUUAUUAUUUCAUUGAUAUAUGAUUGGUUGAUCCUUAAUUUUAGAUUACAAGAUUAAAUUACCUUAGGGAUAACAGCGUAAUUCUUUUGGAGAGUUCUUAUCGAUAAAGAGUUUGCGACCUCGAUGUUGGAUUAAAAUUUACUGUUU
rnacentral:rRNA from 1 species